rnacentral:rRNA from 1 species
CAACGCCGCGUGGAGGAUGAAGUACUUCGGUCGUAAACUCCUUUCGAUCGGGACGAUAAUGACGGUACCGGAAGAAGAAGCCCCGGCUAACUUCGUGC